ACGCUCGACACCUACGGAGGCAGCAGUGGGGAAUAUUGCACAAUGGGGGAAACCCUGAUGCAGCGACGCCGCGUGGAGGAAGAAGGUCUUCGGAUUGUAAACUCCUGUUGUUGGGGAAAAAGAGGAUGGUACCCAACAAGGAAGUGACGGCUAACUACGUGCCAACAGCCGCGGUAAUCUGAGCGGGCUGGCAG
rnacentral:rRNA from 1 species